rnacentral:rRNA from 1 species
UAGGGAAUAUUGCACAAUGGACGAAAGUCUGAUGCAGCGACGCCGCGUGAGUGAUGAAGGCCUUCGGGUCGUAAAGCUCUGUCGUAUGGGACUAACACAAUGAAGGUACCAUGCAAGAAAGGAUCGGCUAACUUCGUGCCAGCAGCCGCGGUAAGACGAGGGAUCCUAGCGUUGUUCGGAAUUAUUGGGCGUAAAGCGGGUGUAGGCGGCUUUAUAAGUCAGGUGUGAAAGCCCAGGGCUCAACCCUGGAAGUGCACUUGAUACUGUAAAGCUUGAAUGUGGUAGAGGUUACUGGAAUUGCUGGUGUAGUGGUGAAAUACGUAGAUAUCAGCAGGAAUACCGGAGGCGAAGGCGGGUAACUGGGCCAACGAUUGACGCUGAGACCCGAAAGCGUGGGGAUCAAACAGGAUUAGAUACCCGGGUAGUCCCUGAGCGGGCUGGCAAGGCGCAU